rnacentral:rRNA from 1 species
ACACUAGUAGAAAAAGGGUCAUACGUGAAGCCCAAUAGUGCCGGUUUGUAUUAGAGCCGGCACUAAUGUGUACAAUAGCACCGGUUCGUGGCGGCGAUCAAUAGCACCGGUUCGUGGCUAACCUUUAGUACCGGUUCAUGCCACGAACCGGUACUAAAGGGGAUGUGUCAGCCUGCGGUCAGGGUAUGGCCCCACCAUCACCAUUUAGUGCCGGUUCGUACCACGAACCGGUACUAAUGAGGUUAUGGCAAGCUAUGUUUAGUCCCACCUCGCCAAGAGAGAGGGAGUAAGAGCGGUUUAUAAGCCCUGAGUGCAGAGACAAUGAAGAAGAGGCUCAGUGCUCACGUU